GACGAACGCUGGCGGCGUGCUUAACACAUGCAAGUCGAACGGAAAGGCCCUGCUUUUGUGGGGUGCUCGAGUGGCGAACGGGUGAGUAACACGUGAGUAACCUGCCCUUGACUUUGGGAUAACUUCAGGAAACUGGGGCUAAUACCGGAUAGGAGCUCCUGCUGCAUGGUGGGGGUUGGAAAGUUUCGGCGGUUGGGGAUGGACUCGCGGCUUAUCAGCUUGUUGGUGGGGUAGUGGCUUACCAAGGCUUUGACGGGUAGCCGGCCUGAGAGGGUGACCGGCCACAUUGGGACUGAGAUACGGCCCAGACUCCUACGGGAGGCAGCGGUGGGGAAUAUUGCACAAUGGGCGGAAGCCGGAUGCAGCAACGCCGCGUGCGGGAUGACGGCCUUCGGGUUGUAAACCGCUUUCGCCUGUGACGAAGCGUGAGUGACGGUAAUGGGUAAAGAAGCACCGGCUAACUACGU
rnacentral:rRNA from 1 species